GUCACUUUCAGGAAUAAGGUCACUUCCUCCAUUAGGUCACAUCUGGGUGUGUGUGCACUGCCUUAAACAAAUAAGUUCAACAAAACCAGAAGACUAGUAUUCCAGGAAACAUAUCAUCUCAGACAUGGAGACAGGAAAAAGUAAAAGCCUCCAAACCAGGGGUAUAUCUACACCAGAAAGGAAUGUUACUUCAAAUUGGGGUGUGCAUGUGAGAGAGGUGAAUAUAUCUACACCUGUAGUGAAUGUGGGUAUGAAGGAUUUGUCAGUGUCAACCACUGUAGCUUUGGCUACCAUUGCAGUAACAGGAGCUGUUGCCUAUGGAAUGAGCCAAAAUGGUAAGGGUUAAAAAAAAAAAUUGAAAAAAAAGGGUUUCAAAUUCUGACUCUCCUAUACGAUCAUCCCU
rnacentral:lncRNA from 1 species